UUCUUAUCAAGAGUGGUUGAGGGACUGGCCCGUUGACGCCCGACAACCUAUACUUCAUGGAUUUUUAUGCAUAUACGAAGUAUAAGGUGUUAAUUCCAGCAGAAUUAAUUUUUCUGACAGAUAAGAA
rnacentral:ncRNA from 1 species